rnacentral:rRNA from 2 species
UAAGUUAUUAAGGGCGCACGGUGGAUGCCUUGGCACUAGAAGCCGAUGAAGGACGUUACUAACGACGAUAUGCUUUGGGGAGCUGUAAGUAAGCUUUGAUCCAGAGAUUUCCGAAUGGGGAAACCCAGCAUGAGUUAUGUCAUGUUAUCGAUAUGUGAAUACAUAGCAUAUCAGAAGGCACACCCGGAGAACUGAAACAUCUUAGUACCCGGAGGAAGAGAAAGAAAAUUCGAUUCCCUUAGUAGCGGCGAGCGAAACGGGAAGAGCCCAAACCAACAAGCUUGCUUGUUGGGGUUGUAGGACACUCUAUACGGAGUUACAAAGGACGACAUUAGACGAAUCAUCUGGAAAGAUGAAUCAAAGAAGGUAAUAAUCCUGUAGUCGAAAAUGUUGUCUCUCUUGAGUGGAUCCUGAGUACGACGGAGCACGUGAAAUUCCGUCGGAAUCUGGGAGGACCAUCUCCUAAGGCUAAAUACUCUCUAGUGACCGAUAGUGAACCAGUACCGUGAGGGAAAGGUGAAAAGCACCCCGGAAGGGGAGUGAAAUAGAACCUGAAACCGUGUGCUUACAAGUAGUCAGAGCCCGUUAAUGGGUGAUGGCGUGCCUUUUGUAGAAUGAACCGGCGAGUUACGAUUUGAUGCAAGGUUAAGCAGUAAAUGUGGAGCCGUAGCGAAAGCGAGUCUGAAUAGGGCGUUUAGUAUUUGGUCGUAGACCCGAAACCAGGUGAUCUACCCUUGGUCAGGUUGAAGUUCAGGUAACACUGAAUGGAGGACCGAACCGACUUACGUUGAAAAGUGAGCGGAUGAACUGAGGGUAGCGGAGAAAUUCCAAUCGAACCUGGAGAUAGCUGGUUCUCUCCGAAAUAGCUUUAGGGCUAGCCUCAAGUGAUGAUUAUUGGAGGUAGAGCACUGUUUGGACGAGGGGCCCCUCUCGGGUUACCGAAUUCAGACAAACUCCGAAUGCCAAUUAAUUUAACUUGGGAGUCAGAACAUGGGUGAUAAGGUCCGUGUUCGAAAGGGAAACAGCCCAGACCACCAGCUAAGGUCCCAAAAUAUAUGUUAAGUGGAAAAGGAUGUGGCGUUGCCCAGACAACUAGGAUGUUGGCUUAGAAGCAGCCAUCAUUUAAAGAGUGCGUAAUAGCUCACUAGUCGAGUGACACUGCGCCGAAAAUGUACCGGGGCUAAACAUAUUACCGAAGCUGUGGAUUGUCCUUUGGACAAUGGUAGGAGAGCGUUCUAAGGGCGUUGAAGCAUGAUCGUAAGGACAUGUGGAGCGCUUAGAAGUGAGAAUGCCGGUGUGAGUAGCGAAAGACGGGUGAGAAUCCCGUCCACCGAUUGACUAAGGUUUCCAGAGGAAGGCUCGUCCGCUCUGGGUUAGUCGGGUCCUAAGCUGAGGCCGACAGGCGUAGGCGAUGGAUAACAGGUUGAUAUUCCUGUACCACCUAUAAUCGUUUUAAUCGAUGGGGGGACGCAGUAGGAUAGGCGAAGCGUGCGAUUGGAUUGCACGUCUAAGCAGUAAGGCUGAGUAUUAGGCAAAUCCGGUACUCGUUAAGGCUGAGCUGUGAUGGGGAGAAGACAUUGAGUCUUCGAGUCGUUGAUUUCACACUGCCGAGAAAAGCCUCUAGAUAGAAAAUAGGUGCCCGUACCGCAAACCGACACAGGUAGUCAAGAUGAGAAUUCUAAGGUGAGCGAGCGAACUCUCGUUAAGGAACUCGGCAAAAUGACCCCGUAACUUCGGGAGAAGGGGUGCUCUUUAGGGUUAACGCCCAGAAGAGCCGCAGUGAAUAGGCCCAAGCGACUGUUUAUCAAAAACACAGGUCUCUGCUAAACCGUAAGGUGAUGUAUAGGGGCUGACGCCUGCCCGGUGCUGGAAGGUUAAGAGGAGUGGUUAGCUUCUGCGAAGCUACGAAUCGAAGCCCCAGUAAACGGCGGCCGUAACUAUAACGGUCCUAAGGUAGCGAAAUUCCUUGUCGGGUAAGUUCCGACCCGCACGAAAGGCGUAACGAUUUGGGCACUGUCUCAACGAGAGACUCGGUGAAAUCAUAGUACCUGUGAAGAUGCAGGUUACCCGCGACAGGACGGAAAGACCCCGUGGAGCUUUACUGUAGCCUGAUAUUGAAAUUCGGCACAGCUUGUACAGGAUAGGUAGGAGCCUUUGAAACGUGAGCGCUAGCUUACGUGGAGGCGCUGGUGGGAUACUACCCUAGCUGUGUUGGCUUUCUAACCCGCACCACUUAUCGUGGUGGGAGACAGUGUCAGGCGGGCAGUUUGACUGGGGCGGUCGCCUCCUAAAAGGUAACGGAGGCGCUCAAAGGUUCCCUCAGAAUGGUUGGAAAUCAUUCAUAGAGUGUAAAGGCAUAAGGGAGCUUGACUGCGAGACCUACAAGUCGAGCAGGGUCGAAAGACGGACUUAGUGAUCCGGUGGUUCCGCAUGGAAGGGCCAUCGCUCAACGGAUAAAAGCUACCCCGGGGAUAACAGGCUUAUCUCCCCCAAGAGUUCACAUCGACGGGGAGGUUUGGCACCUCGAUGUCGGCUCAUCGCAUCCUGGGGCUGUAGUCGGUCCCAAGGGUUGGGCUGUUCGCCCAUUAAAGCGGUACGCGAGCUGGGUUCAGAACGUCGUGAGACAGUUCGGUCCCUAUCCGUCGUGGGCGUAGGAAAUUUGAGAGGAGCUGUCCUUAGUACGAGAGGACCGGGAUGGACAUACCUCUGGUGUACCAGUUGUCGUGCCAACGGCAUAGCUGGGUAGCUAUGUGUGGACGGGAUAAGUGCUGAAAGCAUCUAAGCAUGAAGCCCCCCUCAAGAUGAGAUUUCCCAACUUCGGUUAUAAGAUCCCUCAAAGAUGAUGAGGUUAAUAGGUUCGAGGUGGAAGCAUGGUGACAUGUGGAGCUGACGAAUACUAAUCGAUCGAAGACUUAAUCA